UCAGAGGAAUUGCUAACUAGAAUAACUAGUUUAGAGAAGAACAUAAAUGACCUGAUGGAGCUGAAAAACACAGCACGGAAACUUUGUGAGGCAUAAACAGAUAUCAGAGAUUGAAGAUCAACUUAAUGAAA